rnacentral:lncRNA from 1 species
GGGUUGGAAGAGCGAGAAACUAGAUGAGGCUCAGGCCCUGGCGCGGAGUUGCGCCGCCCGCAGACCCGACUUCUUGGCGACAGCCGUUGGGGAUGCCUUUUUUCAAGGUUGCUGGUUAAAGAUGCUCCUCUUUUUCUUUCUCACUUUUGUCUUCCUGGGCUGCUAUUUAAAAGACCAGAUGUAGAAUUUAAAGCCAAAUAAAUGAGACUUAUAAAAUUACAAAAUAAAAUGAGUGAAAGUAAGCUUAAUAGUCUUAAACCAAUUUAUAAAAGCUAGAACCAAAUGGUCUAAACCCUUUCUCUGUGUUUAUUAUGCAGCUGUGGGUGGUGGUGCCAUUCACUAACAAUGAAAUACUGAGUAACUAGGAUUGGGAGGAAGGUCAUGAAUCUAGUUUGUAUCUGUAGGAUUUAAGCUGCCUUUGUCCUCACAUAGUGAUGUCAGUAGGCAAUUAGAUACAGGGAUGUAGAACUCAGAGGAGAGGUCUGGGCUAGAAAUAAUAUGUAAGUAAUUUACUUACUUAUAGGUUGCAGUUGUAGCUGUGAUGAAGCGUGAGCACCAAGGGAGAGACUGUAGCGUGAGAAGUAAA